UACAGAGGGUGCGAGCGUUAAUCGGAAUUACUGGGCGUAAAGCGCGCGUAGGCGGCUUUGCAAGUCGGGUGUGAAAUCCCCAGGCUUAACCUGGGGAACUGCAUUCGAGACUGCAUUGCUAGAGUAUGGGAGAGGGAAGUGGAAUUUCCGGUGUAGCGGUGAAAUGCGCAGAUAUCGGGAGGAACACCAAUGGCGAAGGCAGCUUGCUGGGACGGUACUGACGCUGAGACGCGAAAGCGUGGGGAGCAAACAGG
rnacentral:rRNA from 1 species